rnacentral:rRNA from 1 species
AGCGAACGCUGGCGGCAGGCCUAAUACAUGCAAGUCGAACGGCUCUUCGGAGCAGUGGCGGACGGGUGAGUAACGCGUGGGAAUAUGCCCUUAGGUAAGGAACAACACAUGGAAACUUGUGCUAACACCGUAUGUGCCCUUCGGGGGAAAGAUUUAUCGCCUUUGGAGCAACCCGCGUUGGAUUAGGUAGUUGGUGGGGUAAAGCCACACCAAACCGAUGAACCAUAGCUGCUCGGAGAGGAUGACCAGACAAACUGGGACUGAGACACGGCCCAGACUCCUACGGGGGGCAGCAGUAGGGAAUCUUGCGCAAUGGGCGAAAGCCUGACGCAGCCAUGCCGCGCGUAUGAUGAAGGUCUUAGGAUUGUAAAAUACUUUCACCGGGGAAGAUAAUGACGGUACCCGGAGAAGAAGCCCCGGCUAACUUCGUGCCAGCAGCCGCCGUAA